rnacentral:miRNA from 1 species
AAUGUGGACUGGUGUGACCAAA